AAUAUUUCACAAUGGGCGAAAGCCUGAUGCAGCAACGCCGCGUGAAUGAUGAAGGCCUUCGGGUCGUAUAGUUCUUUGAUCAGGGAUGAUAAUGACAGUACCCGAAAAACAUGCCACGGCUUACUACGUGCCAGCACCCGCGGUAAUACGUAGGUGGCUAGCGUUGUCCGGAAUUACUGGGCGUAAAGGAUGCGUAGGUGGAUACUUAAGUGGGAUGUGAAAUCCCCGGGCUCAACCCGGGAACUGCAUUCCAAACUGGGUAUCUAGAGUGCAGGAGAGGAAAGCGGAAGUCCUAGUGUAGCGGUGAAAUGCGUAGAUAUUAGGAGGAAGACCAGUGGCGGAGGCGGCUUUCUGGACUGUAACUGACACUGAGGCAUGAAAGCGUGGGUAGCAAACAGG
rnacentral:rRNA from 1 species